AGUGAACGCUGGCGGUAGGCCUAACACAUGCAAGUCGAACGGCAGCACAGUAAGAGCUUGCUCUUACGGGUGGCGAGUGGCGGACGGGUGAGGAAUACAUCGGAAUCUACUUUUUCGUGGGGGAUAACGUAGGGAAACUUACGCUAAUACCGCAUACGACCUACGGGUGAAAGCAGGGGAUCUUCGGACCUUGCGCGAUUGAAUGAGCCGAUGUCGGAUUAGCUAGUUGGCGGGGUAAAGGCCCACCAAGGCGACGAUCCGUAGCUGGUCUGAGAGGAUGAUCAGCCACACUGGAACUGAGACAAGGUCCAGACUCCUACGGGAGGCAGCAGUGGGGAAUAUUGGACAAUGGGCGCAAGCCUGAUCCAGCCAGACCGCGUGGGUGAAGAAGGCCUUCGGGUUGUAAAGCCCUUUUGUUGGGAAAGAAAAGCAGCAGGUUAAUACCCCGCUGUUCUGACGGUACCCAAAGAAUAAGCACCGGCUAACUUCGUG
rnacentral:rRNA from 1 species